AACGAACGCUGGCGGCAUGCCUAACACAUGCAAGUCGAACGAGACCUUCGGGUCUAGUGGCGCACGGGUGCGUAACGCGUGGGAACCUGCCCUUAGGUUCGGAAUAACUCCCCGAAAGGGGUGCUAAUACCGGAUAAUGUCUUCGGACCAAAGAUUUAUCGCCUUUGGAUGGGCCCGCGUUGGAUUAGCGAGUUGGUAGGGUAAAAGCCUACCAAGGCGACGAUCCAUAGCUGGUCUGAGAGGAUGAUCAGCCACACUGGGACUGAGACACGGCCCAGACUCCUACGGGAGGCAGCAGUGGGGAAUAUUGGACAAUGGGCGAAAGCCUGAUCCAGCAAUGCCGCGUGAGUGAUGAAGGCCUUAGGGUUGUAAAGCUCUUUUACCCGGGAUGAUAAUGACAGUACCGGGAGAAUAAGCUCCGGCUAACCCCGUG
rnacentral:rRNA from 1 species